UACAGAGGUCCCAAGCGUUGUUCGGAUUUACUGGGCGUAAAGGGAGCGUAGGUGGCAUUCUAAGUCUGAUGUGAAAGCUCUGAGCUUAACUCAGAAAUGGCAUUAGAAACUAGUUUGCUCGAGGAUUGGAGGGGAGAUUGGAAUUCUUGGUGUAGCAGUGAAAUGCGUAGAUAUCAAGAGGAACACCAGUGGCGAAGGCGAAUCUCUGGACAAUUCCUGACACUGAUGCUCGAAAGCUAGGGGAGCAAACGGG
rnacentral:rRNA from 1 species